CAAUAGCGUAUACUAAUGUUGUUGCAGUUAAAAAGCUCGUAGUUGAACUUCUGGUAGGAGUGUCCCGGCCUUUUUGUUUUUACAAAUUGUAUGCUGUGUGACAUCUCUGGCCAUCCUUCUUCUUUGUUUAAAGAAGAUCUUUCACUGUAAAAAAAUUAGGGUGUUCAAAGCAAAAGUUUCUUUGGAAUAUAUUAGUAUGGGAUGAUAAGAUAGGCUCUAGAUGCUAUUUUGUUGGUUUGCACAUUUAGAGAAUGAUUAACAGGGACAGUUGGGGGUAUUCGUAUUUACAUGUCAGAGGUGAAAUUCUUGGAUUUUGGAAAGACGAACUACUGCGAAAGCAUUUACCGAGGAUGUUUUCAUUAA
rnacentral:rRNA from 1 species